rnacentral:lncRNA from 1 species
CACAUACAUGUCUGCUCACUCCAGACAGGGAGCCCACGAAAGAUAGCAUCAAAGUCCUGCUUGGUGGACCAAUGAGUUUUAUUGGGGUUACUUACAGGAAUAUGGGUGAGGGGUCACUUACAGGAGCAGAAAUGACUCAAAGACAGCUGCAUCAUCAAAGCCACCCCAGCCUGGGUGACAGCUCACAAAGCUGGCAACCUGGAGCACACUGCACAGCCUGAGGGCAGCUCAGCAUGUCGAAGAGUGUCCUUUCCAGGUGCCUCAGUUGGUGUAAACUUCUUCCAGGCAGCUCACUGGUUCCUGUGUCUUCCAGGCAGCUGGUCUGGUCUGAGUCUCCUUUGCAGCUUGGCUACAUCAGGGCUGAGGUGAACCCUCAGCUUCCAUUACUACCCUGGCAGGGAGGGGUUAGUAAAUCUGGUCAGUUUCAGGGACUUCCUCAUCUGACUUGAGCUGUUUGCCUUCCUGUUUAAGGAGCUUCCUGUAGGAUGAAAUGUUUCGAUCUUGAAGGAUGCUUUUACAAAACAACAUGGAAGACUGGGAAGUCUGACGACUGGGCUGUCCUCCAGUCCUUGCCACAGGCUCAGCGGCAGGCAGCUGGGGUCCACUGGGUGAGAGGACUGGGAGUUUGGGGCUGCAACCCAAUCCCCUUGUAUCAGCUCCUAUCGACAGCACCCUCUGUGCAUCUAAAGGGCUGCCUGGGGACAGACAACUUCCACCUGUGAGGACACAGUGAGUGCUCCAUCAAUUA